UACGGAGGGGGCUAGCGUUGUUCGGAAUGACUGGGCGUAAAGCGCGCGUAGGCGGAUCGGAUAGUUGGGGGUGAAAGCCCAGGGCUCAACCCUGGAAUGGCCUUCAAAACUCCCGAUCUAGGGUUCGAGAGAGGUGAGUGGAAUUCCGAGUGUAGAGGUGAAAUUCGUAGAUAUUCGGAGGAACACCAGUGGCGAAGGCGGCUCACUGGCUCGACACUGACGCUGAGGUGCGAAAGCGUGGGGAGCAAACAGG
rnacentral:rRNA from 1 species